GAGGAAAGUCCGGGCUCCACAGGGCAGGAUACUCCGUAACGCGGAGUGGGGGCGACCUUAAGGAAAGUGCCACAGAAAACAAACGGCCCACCCGCGGGGCGACCCGCGGCGGCAAAGGUGAAAAGGUGGGGUAAGAGCCCACCAGUGCCGCCGGUGACGGCGGCAGCUGGCAAACCCUAUCCGGAGCAAGA
rnacentral:RNase_P_RNA from 1 species